CUAACCCUGCUGCAGACCCCUCCCUAACCCUGAUGCAGAUCCUUCCCUAACCCUGCUGCAGAUCCCUCCCUAACCCUGCUGCAGAUCCCUCGGCGCACGCACCCGCUCCACGGCCAGAUGGCCUUCCUCUGACAUCUGCCCGCCAUUCCGUCCUAUCCAGGACACACGACAAUACUGAGAAACAAAGAAACAGCCCAGAAGCACCUACUUAGUGGGACAAUAACUCAGUGGAGUUGGGCGCUACUGCCCUCACUAUGGAAAAGGAAGUUGAAGACAAAAAAAUGUUACCACGGGCCACAAACUGAUAAAUAAGGUUAUCAUUUCCCCUCCGGGUCAUAGUUUUCUCCCUCGUAGUUCGUCACUGCAUCUACCUCUCACGCCUGGAUUUCUCUGCCUCUUCUCUCACCCGCUGCCCGCGAGCAGGGAUUACCCUCUCGCCAACACAUACCCACAUUCCCUUCUCAGACCCGCUGUGAGUUCUGAGUACCGCCUCUCCUGCGUCUUCCCUCUCCUUUUCACCAGCUUUCACCACGGUUUGGAAACAUACUCGGGUGGCUCUUGCCUUAGAAUUAAAGAUUUUAUUCUUUCCACUUCGUCAUUCUCAUAGCUCCCCACCUGCUGUCUCCAGUAAUCAGGUACUUAGUUCAGUCCUUGACAUCUCGUUCCACAACACCCUACAGGGCGACUUUCCAGUCUCCUGAAACUGCUGUCUCAGGGUACUGGGGCCCCUUCCUAUAACACUCUGCUAAAUGACGCCCCACCACCACCACAGUUCUUGAUUUUAGCGAGCGUUUAACCUGAAGAGCAAACUGACAGUUCUCAGACAAACACUGGUAGGGAAUCCAUUAAUUGCCAAGGUCGGCUGGGGAUGUAGCUCAGCAGCACAGCGCCUGCCUGGCAAGCGCGAGGGCGUGAGUUCAGUUCCCGGUACUGGAAAAAAAAAAAAAAAAAAGCCAAGGUCACUUGGCAGUUGUGUUCUGGGGGAAGCAGGGACCAAGAAAGUCCCAGAUCCUGAGUGGGGCCGGACGAAGAAAGGGAAAUCUGCCCAGAAGAAGUGAUACAAACACAGCCCCUGCAUCUGAGCCUCCUCGGCAGGGACCAAGCACGCACCCUCCUCAAGUCCAGCCAGUAUUGCCGAGAUAGUCUCUCCAAGUCACCUGCUGGGAAUGGCUGAAGCUGGAAGAUAAUUAUCCACGCACAGUGAAGCCAGCCCGAGAACACAGGAGCUCCUCAAAGCACGUCAACAAGCCGUUGUAGCUUGUCAACUGAUUGCUGGACAGAAAAGCUGAAAGUAAUCAACCUCUCAAGAGUAUAAAAUAAACACUGUACUGUUCUUGGGCAGUUCUUCACUAGGAGAGAGAGGGCCUCCACCUGACCCCAGCUUUUUGUCUCUUGUCUAUUUUUUCAUCAUUCUCACCGCCAUUUCUUCUGAGGGUACAGCAAGAACCCAAUGGAUCCAUACAGUCAUCAGUCUCUGGGUUCAAAACUUAGAAACUUAAGUGCAUUUAGGUUACAUCACUGGAUUUUAUUUAUGUCUCUUAGGAGAAAACAGAACUUUAAAAAUACUGUACAUUCUUCAUAAUCCAAUGCCAUAGACAGAUUUAUUUGUUUUUUUCUCUUUCUUUCUUUCUUUCUUUCUUUCUUUCUUUCUUUC